UGUCAAAAUUCAAUUCACUUUUUAACAAACUCAAAUAGUCCGUAGUGUUAUUUUACAGCUUUGAAGUAAAACAUAAGCUUAUACUGUAAUUAGAUUAUAGCUUAUGUUAUAUUUUUCCAUUGAUUUUCGUCAAUUUAACACACCAAAAUAAGAAACGUUUCAGAAACGUGCGAGUAGAAGUAGCAUUGUAUCAACUUUUUGUUUUGCCAGCGUUUGCGCUUGGGCUGAGGUUCAGUAACGUCUCAACUAGCUGUCAAAACGUUAGCGCGAUACCGAAUCGUACCAAAAGUCUAUCAACGUCCGAGUUUCAUUUGCGCUUCAGUUGAAAAAAUUUAGCGCGAUUGCCCUGCUGAGAGAAAAGCUAGGUGCGUAAGGAA